ensembl:lncRNA
ACUCACACCCUGUUGCAAUUAUUAUUGCUAAAAUGUUGACAUUGCGCGCCAUAAUGCCACUGACAAAAGAUUACUUGUGGAUCUUACAUGUAAUUAAAUUAUAUUGAAUGGAUAAAAAGUACAAGGAUGGUUUACGAGCAAAUGAGGCUAGUUGAUAUUCACAGUAACACACACUUCACAAGGAAAGCUUCAGUUGAGCCGUGGUCACAUUUAGGAGGUCAGCUCCUUUACUCCUCAUCACUCUGAUGAGCGUCAGCUAUUGAGAAAUGAAAACACAGCUUCUCUCUUUUAAUCUUUGGAGGGAUCUGACAAUGUGAAGUGACUCCACCAUCCGCCCCUGACCCGGACUUCAACUUGCAACACGCACACACACACACACACACACACACACACACACACACACACACACACACACACACACACACACACACACACACUCACUCACACUCACACUCACCCUCCCUGCGGAGAGAGGGAAGAUUGAGAGAAAAUAGACCUCCCACCAUGCGGUGUCUUAAGAGGGCUGAAGCCUCUCAGCAUGUACUUUCUCCGCUGCAGGUUGAAGAGCCCUCCUACGCUUGGUAUUCUUUUUGUCACAGGGAGAAGGGACACAUAAUGUCCAUGUCUCGUACUGCAGGAGCUAAGUGCACUUGCGUGCUGCCGAUGGAAAAAUUGGACGAGCAACUGUCGUCAGACAUCUUUUUUUAUCAUGAUAUGAAAUAUCACAUGGCUCUAAAAGAAAAACAAAUAUCUUACAUCUUGUGCUUAAUUAUUUUUUUGCAUUACAUACAGCAGGUCCUCAGAUAGUGUAAGUGUAGACUAUCAAACUUCAUUAUAAUAUUGACACAUUUAAGCAUUAUUUAAUUAUUAAAAUCAUUGUGCUAAAUUAUGUUAACGUCAUCGAUGGGGAACCAGUGGCGGAUUUGCCGUCAUUUGCAUCCCAGUAUUUGGUAUCGAGCUCGCCAACAUGUCGAGCAAAACCAGGUUCUCCUGCUCGAUGUGUUUGGUCG